CUCCUGGGAAGCCCUGGGCAGGGCUCAGAGCACCAGGUGCAGCAGCGAUGCAAAUCCCAGCCCAGCUCCCUGGUUAACUUCUGACCCCUGCAAGGCUCCCUCACCAGCUGACAGGGAGGACACUGGGGUGCUGGGGAGAUGCUCUCUCUCUCUCAUCCCGUGAUGGCAUCACUGUUGCGGAUCCUCUCCUUUCUUUCCCUCUUCACCCCAGGUGUCCUGUCUCAGAUCCAGAUGGUCCAGUCUGGCCCAGGGGUGCUGAAGCCUGGAGAGACCCUCACCCUGACCUGCGCUGUCACUGGAGAAUCCAUCACUACAAGCAGCACAUACUGGGAGUGGAUCUUGCAGUCUCAGUCAGCAGGACUGAAGUGGAUGGGGCAGAUUAGCUUUGGUGGUGGCACAACCUACAACUCAGCUCUGCAGAGCCGAAUCUCCAUGUCCAGGGACACUGCCAAGAACCAGCUCUCCCUGGAGUUGCGUUCCUUGACAGCUGCAGACACUGCCACAUAUUACUGUGCCAGAUGCACAGUGACACAGAGUAGGAGAGAGGCUGCACAAAAAGGGGAAGCAGGUCCAAAACAGACAGCAGUGUCAAAUGCUCCUCUGAGAAGGGAGAGUGACUGUAAGAACAAGAGUCAAAGGACCAAAGCCUGGAGAAACCCCUACCCUGCCCCCAGGAGGAAAUGGUCCCCUUUCCCAAAGCACAGCCAGCUACUGCCUAUACCCAAGAACCAGCUGGUCCUGCUAAGCCAUAGGAAGAGGCUAGGAAUCACCAAACUUGUCACAGGGGCACAUUAGACCCUAAAUAACCUUCUCAGUCCUGGCAGAGUGAGGCGCCUGCGCCUCGUGACUGCAGCUUUCACUCACCCAGCACCCCACAAGCAGAGCAGGGCCCAUCUCUCCUGCAGGAAAAGGCAUUGAGCCACAGCCACAAACCACCACAGCAGGAACCAGGGCCUUCCCCGCUCCCCCAGCUCCCUCUCCUGUCUCAACCCUCCACCCUGACCAGGUGCUUGUAGCAGGUGUUUGGGGAAGAGGGAGUCCUGAGCCUCUGAAAAAACACCUGGUGCAGGGCAGCAGCUGCCAGAAAGGUCCUGGGGACCCUGGGAACAGGGAUGACAAUCCCUCUGGGGAGGGGAUCUUUCCCUUGCCCAGACAGGGGCUUCCUGGAACUCAACCCUUCAGGGAGAUUUGCACCCAGACCCACAGUCAGGGGUCUCUGGGCCCAGGCCAGUGCCAAGGCCCCUGAACCCAACUUGCCUGAGCUAGCAGACACCUGCUGUGAAAAUGGAGAGAGCCCAGUCAGCUGUGCUCAUGCUGGGUAGGGA